rnacentral:rRNA from 1 species
CCUACGGGAGGCUGCAGUGGGGAAUAUUGCACAAUGGGGGAAACUCUGAUGCAGCGACGCCGCGUGAGUGAAGAAGUAUUUCGGUACGUAAAGCUCUAUCAGCAGGGAAGAAAAUGACUGUCGCUGAUCAAGAAGCCCCUGCCAAUUACGUGCCAGGAGCCGCGGGAAUACGGAGGGGGCGAGCUCGAUCCGGUUUUACUGGGGGGAAAGGGAGCGUAGACGGCUGCACAAGUCUGGGGUGAAAUGCCGGGGCUUAACCCCGGAACUGCUUUUGAUACUGUGCAGCUAGAGUGCAGGAGAGGUAAGUGGAAGUCCUGGUGUAGCAGUGAAAUGCGUAGAUAUUAGGAGGAACACCAGUGGCGAAGGCGGCUAACUGGACUGGAACUGACGUUGAGGCUCGAAAGCGUGGGGAGCAAACAGGAUUAGAUACCCGAGUAGUC